CGCUUAUAAAGAAAGACGGAGGGAAUAGACCCGAUGAAGUCUUGGCAACCUGUGCUAACAAGGUGCCAAAUUCUAUCCUGAUAAAAUCAGGAGAAGAUGAGCA
rnacentral:ncRNA from 2 species